AUGGCAAGGAGUGGACCGUUGGUGACAACAAGGGAUGAAGCUUCGGUGUCUCCGAAUGGGAGGGUGGCAAGCACAUCCAGUCCGGCAACGUGCUUGUACAACCCUAGUAUGCACAACGUGGUGCAGGUGGGAGAAGGCGACUACAACUCAUGCAGGGUCUCGGGCCCGUCGAGGACCUACACCUCCGGCAAUGACCACAUCCAGCUCGCCCACGGAGGCAAAGCGUUCUUCAUCUGCAGCCUUCCGGGUCACUGCCAGCAAGGCAUGAAGAUAGUUGUCACUGCUUAA
rnacentral:rRNA from 1 species